AUGUGUGUACCCAAAAAUCAAGGAGGGAUGGGAUUCUGGGAUAUUCAUUGUUUCAACACAAUGUUGGCAAAACAAGCUUGGCGUAUUCUUGAGAAUCCAGAGUCCUUAUGUGCUACCAUGUUGAGAGCUAAGUAUUUCCCCGAUGGUGAUUUGUUGAACAUGAAGUUAAAGAAGGGAUCCUCUUUUACUUGGCAAAGUAUAAUGGCGCGGGUUAAUUGCCUAAAUCAUGGUUAUAUAUGGCAUGUUGGAAACGGUCACAAUAUUGAUAUUUGGGAAGAUGCUUGGAUCCCGAAUUGUGCAAACAGAAAAGUAAUCACACCUAGAGGGAGUAAUUUGAUCUCCAAGGUAUCUGAUUUGAUUGACCCUGUUACUAAUAACUGGGACGAAAAUCUAGACCAAACGUUGUGGCCAGUUGACGCACAACAGGUCCUUGUAAUUCCGCUUCCCCAACAUGAUAUGUCAGAUUUUGUUGCUUGGAGCUAUGCAAAAAAUGGAGUGUUUUUAGUUCGAUUAGCCUAUGUUGUGGAAUGGAAACAUCAACACAGGAGAAAAAUUAGAAGAACUGAUGAUAUAGGACAUUUAACCAUUAAUCCUAUUUAG
rnacentral:rRNA from 1 species